UACAGAGGUCCCGAGCGUUGUUCGGAUUCACUGGGCGUAAAGGGUGCGUAGGUGGCUUUGCAAGUCUGAUGUGAAAUCUCCGGGCUUAACCCGGAAAUGGCAUUAGAAACUGUGAGGCUUGAGGCUUGGAGGGGGAACUGGAAUUCUCGGUGUAGCAGUGAAAUGCGUAGAGAUCGAGAGGAACACCAGUGGCGAAGGCGAGUUCCUGGACAAGUCCUGACACUGAGGCACGAAAGCCGGGGGAGCAACCAGG
rnacentral:rRNA from 1 species